CCCAAAAGUGUUAAAAGAUUUUAAAAGCACCUCCUCCCAAAACUAGGCGUUUUCCCCUGAAGUUUAGAGCACCGUUUCACAUCAAGGCGCCUGAUUUCAAACGGGCCAAUCAGCGCACUGCAUCAGGCUCCACCACAGACAACGUCUGUACAGCUCACCACAAGUUUUGCUUUGGAGUACGGCAGCACGCUAUCUUCAUUUUCGUGGACUUGUUUCUCAUUUUUUUAAUUUAACGUCUGCCACAGCUCGUCUUCAGUUACUACGGGUGCUGAUCUAGCAGUGUGUGGACCUCAGCGGACCCCAGAAACGUAUAGAUCUGCCACUGAACAGCUGGAAAGAGAAGACGUGUCAGAAGUUCAGGGGAUAAAGUUCAGAUAUGGCUGAAUCGCAGGUGCUUAUCUUAAAGAACAUAGGGGAUGCAAUUGCAGGAGUGCUUCCAGACCUUCCUGAUCAACUUCUCAAGUCGGUAGAAGAUACUUUGAAAAAAACUUGGUGCAGAAACCACAGAUGAUUUAAAGUACAUUACAGAAAAUGACCUGCUGCUAGUGCUCAAGCCCAUACAAUCCAGAAGACUAGUGGUGCCUGGACCCAAAAUGUGGAUGUCCUUCUUUCUCCACCCUCAAUUUCUUCUUCACCAACAUCAUCCACCACUACUUCAUCACCUUCAGGAAUCUGUACACCAUUACUACCAAACUGGGUAGAGAGAUUUGAGAUACCAUGGCAGAGGCUCCCUGAGGAGUUGGUACAGAUGACGACAACAACACAGACGAAAUACCAGCUGAACAAAAAGCAAGGGUUCAAGACACAUGGCUGUAUUAGCUGGGAGCCAAAGCAUUUGCCACUCUGAGACUGUGGAGAGUCAGCUUGAAAAAAAAAGAAGAAAUGAAGAAGCUGUUUAAAAAGAAUAACUACAAUACAGAUGUUGUGAAAGAACUAGUCAAGUGCACCUAUUACACGCAGUGUAAAGACAUCAACAAAGGGGCAAGCAUCCAGAAACUAUGCCAGGAAUACUAUGCCAAAAAUAACUAUUUGCUCGGGCAGAUGCAGAAGGAGCAGAAGGACACCCUGAAUGAGUCCUCACAAAAACCCCAUCCAUGAAAUAAUACCCUGCGGCUCGUGCUCUCGCCACGACGCUUUUAGAGUCAAAACAUUACUUCACGCGCAGGUUGCAGCUCGUGAAUUUUGCGCUGAGAGCAGAGUGACAGGACAGGUGCAGGACACCCCUUUGUAGCUGCUGAAGUCUAAUUAAAGAAAACGCAGGUGAAAACAGAAACGCUUCAGUGUACUAAUACAGAGGGCAUAUGAGGAGGCGACAUGAGAAAAAAAUAAAUAAAUCACAGAGUAUCGUUUUAAUUCAAGUGCUUUAUUAGUCUGAAUCAAACCGUGGGCGUGUUGGGCCCUGAUGCACAGUGCGUCUGCUUUUGCCACCAUAUGUACAGAAGCUCAGGCCACCUGAGCCUAUGUGUAUAUGUGUGUGUGUGUGUGUAUAGAUAGAUAGAUAGAUAGAUAGAUAGAUAGAUAGAUAUAUAUAUGAUAGAUAUAGAUAGAGAUCUAUCUAGAUCUAGAUCUAGAUAUAGAUAGAUAUAUAUAUGAUAGAUAUAGAUAGAGAUACAUGUAGCUUUGAGUAAAAUAGAAAAACAGGGUAUAAGAACCAG
ensembl:lncRNA